rnacentral:rRNA from 1 species
UACGUAGGGGGCGAGCGUUGUCCGGAAUCAUUGGGCGUAAAGCGCGUGUAGGCGGCUUGUCAAGUCCGAUGUGAAAUCUCGGGGCUCAACCCCGAAACUGCAUUGGAAACUGGCUUGCUAGAGUCCGGAAGAGGAGAACGGAAUUCCUGGUGUAGCGGUGAAAUGCGCAGAUAUCAGGAAGAACACCGGUGGCGAAGGCGGUUCUCUGGGACGGUACUGACGCUGAGACGCGAAAGCGUGGGGAGCAAACAGG